rnacentral:rRNA from 1 species
UACAGAGGUCUCAAGCGUUGUUCGGAUUCAUUGGGCGUAAAGGGUGCGUAGGCGGCGCGUAAGUCGGGUGUGAAAUUUCGAGGCUUAACUCCGAAACUGCAUUCGAUACUGCCGUGCUUGAGGACUGGAGAGGAGACUGGAAUUUACGGUGUAGCAGUGAAAUGCGUAGAGAUCGUAAGGAAGACCAGUGGCGAAGGCGAGUCUCUGGACAGUUACUGACACUGAGGCAGCGAAGGCCAAGGGGAGGCAAACGGG